rnacentral:rRNA from 1 species
UACGGAGGGGGCUAGCGUUGUUCGGAAUUACUGGGCGUAAAGCGCGCGUAGGCGGACCUGCAAGUCGGGGGUGAAAGCCCGAGGCUCAACCUCGGAACUGCCUUCGAUACUGCGGGUCUCGAGUCCGGGAGAGGUGAGUGGAAUUCAUGGUGUAGCAGUGAAAUGCGUAGAGAUCAUGAGGAAGACCAGUGGCGAAGGCGGGUCUCUGGACAGUUCCUGACACUGAGGCACGAAGGCCAGGGGAGCAAACGGG